rnacentral:rRNA from 1 species
UCCUGCCGGAGGCCACUGCUAUCGGGUUCCGACUAAGCCAUGCGAGUCAUGGGGUCGCAAGACACCGGCGCACGGCUCAGUAACGCGCGGAUAAUCUAUCCUCUGGUGGGGGAUAACCUCGGGAAACUGAGGCUAAUACCCCAUAGAUGUUCAAUUCUGGAAAGAUUGAAUGUCGAAAGCGCAAGUGCCAGAGGGUGAGUCUGCGGCCUAUCAGGUAGUAGGUGGUGUAACGGACCACCUAGCCUAAGACGGGUACGGGCCUUGAGAGAGGAAGCCCGGAGAUGGGUUCUGAGACACGAACCCAGGCCCUACGGGGCGCAGCAGGCGCGAAACCUUCGCACUGCGCGAAAGCGCGACGAGGGGAGACCGAGUGCCUCUCCUUUUUUGGGGAGGCUUUUCACAAGCCUAAAAAGCUUGUGGAAUAAGGGCUGGGCAAGACGGGUGCCAGCCGCCGCGGUAAUACCCGCAGCUCAAGUGGUGGUCGCUUUUAUUGAGCCUAAAACGUUCGUAGUCGGCUUUGUAAAUCCUUGGGUAAAUCGGGCCGCUCAACGGUUCGAAUUCUGAGGAGACUGCAAAGCUAGGGACCGGGCGAGGUCGGAGGUACUUUCGGGGUAGGAGUGAAAUCCUGUAAUCCCGAAGGGACCACCUGUGGCGAAAGCGUCUGACUUGAACGGCUC